rnacentral:rRNA from 1 species
UACAGAGGGGGCAAGCGUUGUUCGGAAUUACUGGGCGUAAAGGGCGCGUAGGCGGCCUCUUAAGUCGAACGUGAAAUCCCCGGGCUCAACCCGGGAACUGCGUCCGAUACUGGGAGGCUUGAAUCCGGGAGAGGGAUGUGGAAUUCCAGGUGUAGCGGUGAAAUGCGUAGAUAUCCGAAGGAACAUCAGUGGCGAAAGCGGCUUCCUGGACCAGAACUGACGAUCAGGCACGAAAGCGUGGGGAGCAAACGGG